AUGGAAAAUACCUUCCCCUCAUCUUCUUUCUUCAACAUGAACGGAGAAAAACAAGCUUCUCCCGCCGCUACAAUCUUCGUCAUCGAGGCUCCAUGGCUUCGUUAUCUGUUACAAAUUCAACAUCAUCUCAUUGUUUCUCCUGAUCAGCCCUCGACAAACUCAAUCCACCUCACGCUUCUCAAAACAGAAACAAAAAAAACACGAUGCGGCUAUCGAAAUGAUCUACUCAACCUCUCUGAUUAA